GCGGGCGUGGCGAAAUUGGUAGACGCGCCAGGUUUAGGUCCUGGUGGCUUCGGCCAUGGGGGUUCAAGUCCCUCCGCCCGCACCA
rnacentral:tRNA from 1 species